AGUGAACGCUGGCGGUAGGCCUAACACAUGCAAGUCGAACGGCAGCACAGUAAGAGCUUGCUCUUACGGGUGGCGAGUGGCGGACGGGUGAGGAAUACAUCGGAAUCUACUUUUUCUUGGGUGUUAACGUAGGGAAACUUACGCUAAUACCGCAUACUACCUACUGUUUAAAUCAUUGGAUCUUCUGACCUUUCGCGUUUUAAUGAGCCGAUGUCGGAUUAGCUAGUUGGCGGGGUAAAGGCCCACCAAGGCGACGAUCCGUAUCUGGUCUGAGAGGAUGAACAGACACACGGGAAGUGAGACACGGACAAGACGAGUACGGGAGGCAGCAGAGGGGAAGAUUGGACAAGGGGCGGAAGCAUGAUCCAGAAAUACCGCGUGGGUGAAGAAGGCCUUCGGGUUGUAAAGCCCUUUUGUGGGGAAAGAAAAGCAGCAGGUUAAAACCCCGCUGUAGUGACGGUAACAAAAGAAUAAGCACCGGCUAACUUCGUG
rnacentral:rRNA from 1 species